AAAUAAUGAAUUAAUAAAUUAAUUAUUAAUAAAAGUAAUUUUAAUAUAAAAUAUUUAAUGGGGGUUAAAGUAUUUUAAUAGAAAAAAUUAGAAAUUUUAUAGUAAAUUAGUAUAGUAAUAGAAAUUUGAAAUAAAUGAAAAUAAAUUUAAAAUAAAGUAAAUUUAAUUUAUUGUAUCUUGUGUAUCAGAGUUUAUUAAAUAAAUUUUUAGUAUUAAUAUUUCUCGAAUUUAAAAGAGUUAAUUAAUUAAUAAAGUUAAUGUGAAAAAAUUAUUUAAAAUAAUUAAUUAGAAAUGAAAUGUUAAUCGUUUUUAAAUAUAUCUAGUUAUUUCAGAAAAAAAUUUAAUUUUAAAUUUAUUUUUUUUUUAUAUGUAUAUAUAAUUAUUAAAUUAUAAAAUAAAUUUUAUAAUUUAAGGGAUAAGCUUUAAAUUAAAAAAUUAUAAUAAAUUAAAAAUAUAUAAUAAAAUUUUUAAAAUUUAUAUUGUUUAAAAAUUAAAAUUUGUUAUAAAAAAUUUUAUUUUAAAUAAAAUUUUAAAAUAAUUUAAAUUUAUAUGAAAAUAUAAUAUAAAAUAAUAAAAUAUUAGAGAUAAUGAUAAAAUUAGUAUAAUAAAUAAAUUUAAAAUUAAAUUAAUUAAAAAUUGAUUAAAAGGAAUUCGGCAAAAAUUUAUAUUCACCUGUUUAACAAAAACAUGUCUUUUAGAAUUUAAUUUAAAGUCUAAUCUGCCCACUGAUAAUAAUAUUAAAGGGCUGCAGUAUUUUGACUGUACAAAGGUAGCAUAAUCAUUAGUCUUUUAAUUGAAGACUUGUAUGAAAGAUUUGAUGAAAUAUAAACUGUCUCUUAAUUAUUUAUAUAAUUUAAUUUUUUAGUUAAAAAGCUAAAAUAAAUUUAAAAGACGAGAAGACCCUAUAGAGUUUUAUAUUUUAUAAAAUUAAAUAUUUAUAUAAAAUUUUAAUAUUUAAUUUUAUAAAAUAUUGUGUUGGGGUGAUAAAAAAAUUUAAAUAACUUUUUUUAAAGUUAAACAAAAAUAAUUGAAUUUUUGAUCCAUUAUUAAUGAUUAAAAGAAAAAAUUACCUUAGGGAUAACAGCGUAAUAUUUUUUUUUAGUACAAAUAAAAAAAAAAGUUUGCGACCUCGAUGUUGGAUUAAGAUAAAAUUUAAAUGCAAAAGUUUAAAAUUUUGAUCUGUUCGAUCAUUAAAAUCUUACAUGAUCUGAGUUCAAACCGGUGUAAGCCAGGUUGGUUUCUAUCUUUAAAUAAAUAUAAUAUUUUAGUACGAAAGGAUCAAAUAUUAAAAAUAAUUUUAAUUAUAAGAAUAUUAAUAAUAAUAGUUUUAUAA
rnacentral:rRNA from 1 species